CAGCCGCCGCGGGAAUACGUAGGUGGCAAGCGUUGUCCGGAAUUAUUGGGCGUAAAGGGCUCGCAGGCGGUUUCUUAAGUCUGAUGUGAAAGCCCCCGGUUCAACCGGGGAGGGUCAUUGGAAACUGGGAAACUUGAGUGCAGAAGAGGAGAGUGGAAUUCCACGUGUAGCGGUGAAAUGCGUAGAGAUGUGGAGGAACACCAGUGGCGAAGGCGACUCUCUGGUCUGUAACUGACGCUGAGGAGCGAAAGCGUGGGGAGCGAACAGGAUUAGAUACCCCAGUAGUCCCUGUCUCUUAUAC
rnacentral:rRNA from 1 species